UGGGGAAUCUUGGACAAUGGGGGCAACCCUGAUCCAGCCAUGCCGCGUGAGUGAUGAAGGCCUUAGGGUCGUAAAGCUCUUUCGCCUGUGAAGAUAAUGACGGUAGCAGGUAAAGAAACCCCGGCUAACUCCGUGCCAGCAGCCGCGGUAAUACGGAGGGGGCUAGCGUUGUUCGGAAUUACUGGGCGUAAAGCGCGCGUAGGCGGACUGAUCAGUCAGGGGUGAAAUCCCGGGGCUCAACCCCGGAACUGCCUCCAAAACUAUCGGUCUAGAGUUCGAGAGAGGUGAGUGGAAUUCCGAGUGUAGAGGUGAAAUUCGUAGAUAUUCGGAGGAACACCAGUGGCGAAGGCGGCUCACUGGCUCGAUACUGACGCUGAGGUGCGAAAAGUGUGGGGAGCAAAACAGGAUUAGAUACCCUGGUAGUCCACACCGUAAAACGAUGAAAUGCCAGUCGUCGGGUAGCAUGCUAUUCGGU
rnacentral:rRNA from 1 species